UCCUGAUUAUGUUUUUCUGUCUUAAACAGGAAGAACAACUGAUUGAGGAGAAAGAGGAGGAUGAUGAUGAGGAGGAGACAGCCUCUAACUCCAGCCACUGCCAGGUAAGCAGAAAAUAACCAACAAAUGUAAAUCUAUAUUUUAGCAGCUUUCCUAGAGAGCCAAAUAGAUGUGAUAAAACAUGUUAUUAAUGAAACAUUUAAGCACCUCCAUAGAUGAUUCACAAAUGAUCUCUCUAUUUAGCAGGAGACACUGGUUGAAACUGGCAAUACCAGCUGCCAGGAUGAAGAAACAGUGGUGGAGGACCUGGGCCCUACAAUUGGCCAGGAAGAACGUGAAGAACAACUGAGUGAGCAAAAGGAGGAUGAUGAUGAGGAGGAGACAGCCUCUAACUCCAGCCACUGCCAGUUAGUGGAGGACCUGGGCCCUACUAUCAUCCAGGAAGAACUUGAAGAAGAACUGAGUGAGCAAGAGGAGGAUGAUGAGGAGGAGACAGCCUCUAACUCCAGCCACUGCCAGUUAGUGGAGGACCUGGGCCCUACCAUCAUCCAGGAAGAGCUUGAAGAGAGCAAUAAGGAAGAACAACUGAUUGAGGAGAAAGAGGAGGAUGAUAAUGAGGAGGAGACAGCCUCUAACUCCAGCCACUGCCAGGUAAGCAGAAAAUAAGCAACAAAUUUAAAUCUAUAUUUUAGCAGCUUUCCUAGAGAGCCAAAUAGAUGUGAUAAAACAUGUUAUUAAUGAAACAUUUAAGCACCUCCAUAGAUGAUUCACAAAUGAUCUCUCUAUUUAGCAGGAGACACUGGUUGAAACUGGCAAUACCAGCUGCCAGGAUGAAGAAACAGUGGUGGAGGACCUGGGCCCUAUAAUUGGCCAGGAAGAACGUGAAGAACAACUGAGUGAGCAAAAGGAGGAUGAUGAUGAUGAGGAGGAGACAGCCUCUAACUCCAGCCACUGCCAGUUAGUGGAGGACCUGGGCCCUACUAUCAUCCAGGAAGAACUUGAAGAAGAACUGAGUGAGCAAGAGGAGGAUGAUGAGGAGGAGGAGACAGCCUCUAACUCCAGCCACUGCCAGGUAAGCAGAAAAUAACCAGCAAAUUCAAAUCUGUAUUUUAGCAGCUUCCCUAUAGAGCCAAAUAGAUGUGAGAAAACAUAUUAUUAAUGACACGUGUUUUUAUUUAACAGGAGUCAAUAGAAAAAACUGGCACCAGCCAGAAUGACUGCCCAGAGGAAGAACAGCUGGACAGUCACUUCAGUGAGAAUGAGGCUGAGGAAAUUGUUGAGGAGGAUGAUGUAUCUCCUCUUUCCAAGAAGCUCCGGGAACCCGCAAGAUUUUUGAAGUUGGGCGAGGCCAUCGGAGAGGGCAGAUUUGGACCAAUUCAUUUGGGAUGGCACUGUGAGAAACAAAUGGAGGUGGCCAUCAAUAUUAUACCCAACAGGGAGAAUGAAAAAUACCUCAAUGAUGAACUGGAAAUUCUCCCAAAGCUUCCAGGCCACCGAAACAUCAUCAACUUUUAUGGGGCCUACUAUCACAACACAAAGAACAAGUCAAAAAACCAAGGUUUAUGGGUAAGGAAAUGUUUAUUCAGAUAGGUAAAACUUUAUGGACCAAAUUGGCCAAUCAAGAGAAUUAAUAUAAACUUGUAUUUUACAUGGAAAUAGGAUUUGUUUGGUAAAACUGCACGUCACCAUAAAACAGCCCAGUUACAUGUCAUAUAUUGUAUAACUGUAGGCAAUUAUAGGCUUUAUGUUCUUUAUUUGUCUUCUAGAUCUCUCUGGAACUUUUUGAGGGCUCAGUCAGUGGCCUCAGGGAGACAAGGAGAAACAAUUCACUGGGCGAGAAGUGGACCUCGUACAUUUGCAAAGAGGUCUUAAAGGGUCUGUGUCAUCUUCAGAAAUAUCAUGUCAUUCAUCAUGACCUGAAACCUGAAAACCUCAGGCUGACGUCAUCCGGCGAUGUGAAAAUCUGUAAGUAACACUUAGGGGGGACAUUUUGAAGAUUUAGGAAAUGUGAUAUUGUUUCAUUUUCUCUCUCAAUUUCUCUUGCUUAGUCUCACAAGGCCACAAAUAUUUACAUAAACCUUUGAAAAUCUUUAAUCCGACAUAAACAAUAUUCCUUCACUAACGCUUUCUCCCAUGCAAAUGUUUUCCAGAAAACAAACAAUAAAUAGGUUCUUUCAUAUUUUAUUGUUGGACAUUAGAAUUCAUGUUUUUGUCAUUUAAUUUCAGGUGAUUUUGAAUUUGCCACCAUUGGGAAGAGGAGUUCCAGCACCAACGGGACUCCUGCAUAUAUGGCUCCCGAGGCACUUGCCUGUCUCGUAGAUGACCAUCUGGACUAUGACCACAGGGUAUUGUUACCUUUAUUUAUUCUGUAUAUCGGCUACAUGGGGUGAAGCGCAUGCAAUGUUUUGCUCACUCAUUUCACAUAAGUCUCUCAUAACAGUGAAAACAAAGUUGUAAAGUACUUGCCCUGCUAUGAGAGGGGGAUCUGAAGUGAGAGAGAGAAAUACAUUCUAAGUGCAGGGAACAAGAAUGGAACAAACCAACCUCAUUUAACUACUUCUUCUUUUUGGGUUUUUCUAACUCUGUAUAACAUCAAACUUCUCUCUGGGGCUCUGUUUAGUGCCAUUAUUUAGGAAAAUGACAUGUUUUCUAUCAGUACAGAGUGGCAUAAUUCUAAUGGGUGAGUUAUUCACAGUUUC